GCAGGUGGAUGGGGAGAGGAGGGGGAGGUGGAGGGAGCUGGGACACAGUAUUCAGAAGGGAAGUGCAGGGUAUGGUAGGGGAGAGGACAGGUCCCACUCUGGGGUUACACUCGGAAACAGAGCACACUGAGGGGGUGGGCGAGUCCUGCCAAAGCCCUAUGUCCGCCGGCGCUAUGCCAAUGCAGCA